AUUGAACGCUGGCGGCAUGCUUUACACAUGCAAGUCGAACGAGUGGCGCACGGGUGAGUAAUACAUCGGAACGUGUCCUAGCGUGGGGGAUAAAUGAUCGAAAGAUCAGAUAAUACCGCAUACGAUUGGAGCGGCGGAUGCACGAUUAGCGAGUUGGUGAGGUAAAGGCUCACCAAGGCGACGAUCUGUAGCUGGUCUGAGAGGACGACCAGCCACACUGGGACUGAGACACGGCCCAGACUCCUACGUGAGGCAGCAGUGGGGAAUUUUUGACAAUGGGGGCAACCCUGAUCCAGCCAUGCCGCGUGCAGGAUGAAGGUCUUCGGAUUGUAAACUGCUUUUGUCAGGGAAGCGGUACCUGCAGAAUAAGCACCGGCUAACUCCGUGCCAGCAGCCGCGGUAAUAC
rnacentral:rRNA from 1 species